UACGUAGGGUGCGAGCGUUAAUCGGAAUUACUGGGCGUAAAGCGUGCGCAGGCGGUGAUGUAAGACCGAUGUGAAAUCCCCGGGCUUAACCUGGGAACUGCAUUUGUGACUGCAAGGCUGGAGUACGGCAGAGGAGACUGGAAUUCCUGGUGUAGCAGUGAAAUGCGUAGAGAUCCGGAGGAACACCAAAGGCGAAGGCAGUGUCCUGGGAGUACCUGACGCUCAGGUGCGAAAGCCAGGGAGCGAACGGG
rnacentral:rRNA from 1 species